rnacentral:rRNA from 1 species
UGGGGAAUAUUGCGCAAUGGGGGGAACCCUGACGCAGCCAUGCCGCGUGAAUGAAGAAGGCCUUAGGGUUGUAAAGUUCUUUCGGUAUUGAGGAAGGUUGAUGUGUUAAUAGCACAUCAAAUUGACGUUAAAUACAGAAGAAGCACCGGCUAACUCCGUGCCAGCAGCCGCGGUAAUACGGAGGGUGCGAGCGUUAAUCGGAAUAACUGGGCGUAAAGGGCACGCAGGCGGUUAUUUAAGUGAGGUGUGAAAGCCCCGGGCUUAACCUGGGAAUUGCAUUUCAGACUGGGUAACUAGAGUACUUUAGGGAGGGGUAGAAUUCCACGUGUAGCGGUGAAAUGCGUAGAGAUGUGGAGGAAUACCGAAGGCGAAGGCAGCCCCUUGGGAAUGUACUGACGCUCAUGUGCGAAAGCGUGGGGAGCAAACAGGAUUAGAUACCCUGGUAGUCCACGCUGUAAACGCUGUCAAUUUGGGGGUUGGGGUUUAACUCUGGCGCCCGUAGCUAACGUGAUAAAUCGACCGCCUGGGGAGUACGGCCGCAAGGUUA